ACGGAAGGCAGCAGUGGGGGAUAUUGGACAAUGGGGGAAACCCUGAUCCAGCGACGCCGCGUGAGUGAAGAAGUAUUUCGGUAUGUAAAGCUCUAUCAGCAGGGAAGAAUAAUGACGGUACCUGACUAAGAAGCACCGGCUAAAUACGUGCCAGCAGCCGCGGUAAUACGUAUGGUGCAAGCGUUAUCCGGAUUUACUGGGUGUAAAGGGAGCGCAGGCGGUACGGCAAGUCUGAUGUGAAAGCCCGCGGCUCAACUGCGGGACUGCAUUGGAAACUGGAGAACUAGAGUGUCGGAGGGGCAAGUGGAAUUCCUAGUGUAGCGGUGAAAUGCGUAGAUAUUAGGAGGAACACCAGUGGCGAAGGCGGCUUGCUGGACGAUAACUGACGCUGAGGCUCGAAAGCGUGGGGAGCAAACAGGAUUAGAUACCCUGGUA
rnacentral:rRNA from 1 species